CAGUCUGACUGGAGUUGCAGUGGAGCUCAUGGGGAAAAGCCCAAAGAGACUCGCACAGAAAACUUUUUAAAUCACUUUUACUGAGUAAAGUGUGAGCUUUUCUGAGGACAAACAACUAGCACAUAGAGCAGAGCUGGGAAAGUGUCCUGCUGCCAUCUGCUGGAUAGGAGGAGCACAUGCAGGAGAUGCUGGAUGAAGAUGCAGUUGGAACCAGUUUUGUUUUGGAUUAUUUUGUGACUUUGGGAUUGAGUAUUGAGGAAGAGGAACACUGGAUUUGGAAGACGCGCUCUGGAUUGGACAAGCGAGUCAACUGAAACUUCAGAGUCGCAGUGGAAGAGGAGGAAUCUACUACAGGAUAAGCCAAAAAUGUUGGAAAAACUACAAAAUUUGACGACCAGCCUUGAUACUGCAAGAACUGUAACUCAUCUGAUGGAAUUGCUGGUGUCCAGGAUAUUUAUAUUCCAAAUGCGUGUAUCAGACAAAUGUUAUUGAACUGGAAUCAAAACCACCUGAAUUAAACGUUCACAGCAUGUAUGUAUACAAUUCACCCCCUUUAUUGGAAAUAUACUAGUACCUGGACAUAAAAAAUUGAUCAGUGCCUCAAUGUUAAUGCAUUACACCACUGAAUCCGUUUGGUUUACUGAACGUCUGCCAGUUAGUUUACUGACCGCAGCUACCUGUGGUACUUCAGGAGUGUUAGAAUGUCCACUGUAGUCCAUCGUUUUGGAUACAACAGGCAGUCACAAUUUUAUAAAAACA